ACACGGCCCAGACUCCUACGGGAGGCAGCAGUAGGGAAUCUUCCGCAAUGGACGAAAGUCUGACGGAGCAACGCCGCGUGAGUGAUGAAGGUUUUCGGAUCGUAAAGCUCUGUUGUUAGGGAAGAACAAGUGCAAGAGUAACUGCUUGCACCUUGACGGUACCUAACCAGAAAGCCACGGCUAACUACGUGCCAGCAGCCGCGGUAAUACGUAGGUGGCAAGCGUUGUCCGGAAUUAUUGGGCGUAAAGGGCUCGCAGGCGGUUUCUUAAGUCUGAUGUGAAAGCCCCCGGCUCAACCGGGGAGGGUCAUUGGAAACUGGGAAACUUGAGUGCAGAAGAGGAGAGUGGAA
rnacentral:rRNA from 1 species